ACAGCAGUAGCCGCGGUAAUACAGAGGGUGCGAGCGUUAAUCGGAUUUACUGGGCGUAAAGCGUGCGUAGGCGGCUAAUUGAGUCGGAUGUGAAAUCCCCGAGCUUAACUUGGGAAUUGCAUUCGAUACUGGUUAGCUAGAGUGUGGGAGAGGAUGGUAGAAUUCCAGGUGUAGCGGUGAAAUGCGUAGAGAUCUGGAGGAAUACCGAUGGCGAAGGCAGCCAUCUGGCCUAACACUGACGCUGAGGUACGAAAGCAUGGGGAGCAAACAGGAUUAGAUACCCGGGUAGUCCCUGUCUCUUAUAC
rnacentral:rRNA from 1 species